rfam:Peptoniphilus lacrimalis DNF00528 contig017, whole genome shotgun sequence.
AACAAUAUUCGGAGGUAAGGGAGACAUGAACAACUAAGUCUAUCAAAUAAAGAACCUUUAUUUAGUAGAUCUUGUUUCUGUCUCUUUUUUGUGUGCUCUU